GGGUUUCUCAUUCUCAUAGCAUUUUAUCCGCCCCCAUCGAGCUGUUUAUCUCCAGGCGAUUCAAAAGGAAAUAGGGUUUCUCUUGGCGAUGCAAGAUCUGGCUCCAGAUCAGCGAAUCUCUCUCUAUACGACACCCAAUCGACUGAGUUUGAAGGUGGUGAAGGGUUUGGAUCUGCCAAUCUGUGACGUAUGAGCAAGGGGGUGUUUGGUCUGCCAAUCGGUGAUGUAUGAGCAUGAUUUCACAAGAUCUAAAGACGGCGUGGUGUGUAGAGACGAGUUCUGGUUUUAGAUGGUGGUUGAAGUAGGUUCCGACAAACUGAUGUAUGUCUGACGACCUCUUUUUUAUUUGUUUAGGUCACAAGCUUCAGAUCUCUUCUCUGACUUUUUGGUAAUUUUAUUCCUGCAGUUAGAAGAACAUCACAUGUAUGUUUUUAACCAUAUCGACAUUUUUGUUUGUUAUUUGACAUGGAUCUGUGAAAUAGUGUCAGAUUUGUGUUGGGUUCUUCAAAUAUAGUGGUCGUGCAUCUGUGAAAUAGUUUCAAAUAUGUGUUGUGUUCUUCAAGGAUAUGUAUUUGAUAUGGAUCUGUGAAAUAGAUUCAGAUCUGUUAAUUUUUUCUAGCAGAUCUGUUAUAAUGCUAUUACGUUUAAAAAGAUGAAAGUCAAAUCUGGGUUUGGUGAAAGAGUAUUUGACAUGGAUCUGUGAAAUAGACAGCAAUAUGUAUUUUAUUUCUGAAAUCUUUGAUGCAAUUUCUGAUAGUUUAAUUUAGCGAUUCUGUUGUGUGUUCUACUCAUCGAGUGAAUUUAUUAGUUGAUUUGAUAUGUUGGGUAAGAUUUAUUGUUGAUCUUUCAUUGUUGUGUGUUCUGAUUUUCGAUUGUUGACCUUUGGUUGAUGCUUGAUUUUGUACGAAACCCUAUCUGGUAACUGAAAAUUGUACAUAUUAUUGAAUUUAAUUGUUGUAAUAUUGUUAAAGAUAUGUACAAUUUACUUCUUCUGUUGAAUCAAUACUUUUGACUGUAAAUGAAAUAUUAUGGUUACACUUGAAGAUUUGUGGGAAUUGUAUGAGUUUGGAGGGACAUUUAUUGCUGUUUGAUUGAUUAUUUUCUUUAUGUUGCGAGAAUGGAACUUGCUCUAGCUAUUUUGUAUUUGAACAAAGCUGAAACCCCGGACAAGAUAUGCAGAGCAAUACAAUACGGUUCAAAGUUCGUAAGUAAUGGCGAGCCAGGCACUGCCCAAAAUGUUGACAAGUCAACUAGCUUGGCUACGAAAGUUUUCCGUCUUUUUAAGUUUGUCAGUGAUUUGCAUGCUAUUAUCAGUCCAACUGCUCCAGGAACUCCGCUUCCGCUUGUUUUGCUGGGGAAGACUUUCAGUCGAAAAAUGGCCACUUAUAUCUCGGUACAGGCCUUCUGUCCGUUCACAAUCUGGGGAUUAUUGAUGCACAUUUGGAAUAUAUUUUCAAAACUGAUUCGGGGUAUGAAACCGGUUCCAGCUCUAAUCAAUGUGUUCAAUAACUGGGUAUUGGUCAAUCCAGGUCGGGUAUGGAAUUGGUUUUGGAGAUGGAAGUGACCGGUUCCGGUCCUGGGUUGUUUUGGGUAUUGACUAGCUCGGGUCGCGUAUAACCAAGUUGGAACCGUUUUUAAAGCAUGGAGUUACAAACUGGUGGUUAAGGUCUGGUAUGGAACCGAUUCCUAAUACCCAGUUUCUAGCAAAGCCCAGUUCUGGUUUUUUUUUUGUCAGUGAAAUUGAUUGGUAAACUACAAGAUGGUACCGUGUUCAUCAAAAAAGGUCACGAUGAUUCCCAGCCUUUCGAGUUCAAGGAAGAUGAAGAGCAAGUGAUUGACGGAUUGGAUCGAGCUGUUAUGACAAUGAAGAAAGGGGAAGUAGCUCUUCUGAAAGUCGCACCAGAAUAUGCCUUUGGUUCUACCGGUUCCGAGAAAGAAUUAGCGGUGGUUCCCCCUAAUGCUACUGUUACUGAUGGUUGUUGCCAGAGGAACUCCUUGGUUUUCAGGUGCUGAUUUGGCAAAUUUGGUAAACGUGGCGGCUCUUAAGGCGGCAAUGGACAGUGCAAAAUCGCAUUGUUUGGAGUACUUGGUCCAUUGGAUGAUGUCAUUAUAGCCCUUAUCUUUUUCCUACAUGUUGGCACCCUGUAUCGGGCUAUUCUUGUGUGCCGUUAUGGAGGAGCUGCAAUUAUGCUUCAUCUGAUAUUGAUACAAUAUAGAGAUUGUGAUCUUUGUAUAAUGAUGGGAAAGAUUGUUUCAGUUGCAAGACGUACAAGUUUUCAUUUUUAUUAGUCUUAAAGAGUGUUGGUUAGUCAUUGGUCAUGUAUAACUUGGUUGAUUUUCAUUAUUAGGUUUAGUAGUGGUAAAAUUUGGGGGGGGGGGG
rnacentral:lncRNA from 1 species